rnacentral:rRNA from 1 species
UAGGGAAUCUUCCACAAUGGGCGAAAACCUGAUGGAGCAACGCCGCGUGUGUGAUGAAGGCUUUCGGGUCGUAAAGCACUGUUGUAUGGGAAGAACAGCUAGAAUAGGAAAUGAUUUUAGUUUGACGGUACCAUACCAGAAAGGGACGGCUAAAUACGUGCCAG